rnacentral:rRNA from 1 species
UACGUAGGUCCCGAGCGUUGUCCGGAUUUAUUGGGCGUAAAGCGAGCGCAGGCGGUUUGAUAAGUCUGAAGUUAAAGGCUGUGGCUCAACCAUAGUUCGCUUUGGAAACUGUCAAACUUGAGUGCAGAAGGGGAGAGUGGAAUUCCAUGUGUAGCGGUGAAAUGCGUAGAUAUAUGGAGGAACACCGGUGGCGAAAGCGGCUCUCUGGACUGUAACUGACACUGAGGCUCGAAAGCGUGGGUAGCAAACAGG